CUACGGUCAUAUCCCAUUGAAACACCGGUUCCCGUAUCACGGAAGUUAAGCAACGUCGUACCUGGUCUGUACCUAGAUGGGUGACAGCUUGAGAAUAUUGGGAGCUGUAA